UGAGUACGAGAUGCUACGGCAUCGAAGCAGUCUAUGUCAUACUUCCAAGAAAAGCUUGCACUGUCAGAAACAGAUAAUGCCUGUACCAUAACCGACACAGGUGGGUAGGUAGAGUAUACUAAGGGGCGCGAGAUAACUCUCUCUAAGGAACUCGGCAAAAUGACUCCGUAACUUCGGGAGAAGGAGUGCCUUAUUUUUAAGGUUGCAAUAACAAGAUCCAAGCAACUGUUUACCAAAAACACAGGUCUCCGCUAAGUCGUAAGACGAUGUAUGGGGGCUGACGCCUGCCCAGUGCCAGAAGGUUAAAGAAGUCGGUUAGCAUUCGCGAAGCUGGUAACUGAAGCCCUGGUGAACGGCGGCCGUAACGAUAACGGUCCUAAGGUAGCGAAAUUCCUUGUCGGGUAAGUUCCGACCCGCACGAAAGGCGUAAUGAUUUGGAUACUGUCUCGGAGAGGGGCUCGGUGAAAUAGACUUGUCUGUGAAGAUGCGGACUACCUGCACCUGGACAGAAAGACCCUAUGAAGCUUUACUGUAACUUGAAAUUGAAAUUGGACUUUAUUUGCGCAGUAUAGGUGGGAGGCGUUGAAAAUAUUCUUGCGGGAAUAUUGGAGCCAUCAGUGAGAUACCACUCUUGUAAUGUUAGAUUUCUAACUUUAUAUCAUUAUCUGGUUAAAGAACAGUUUCAGGCGGGCAGUUUGACUGGGGCGGUCGCCUCCCAAAUGGUAACGGAGGCGCACAAAGGUUUCCUCUGAACGGGUAGAAAUCGUAUCUAGAGUGUAAAGGCAUAAGGAAGCUUGACUGUGAGACCUACAAGUCGAGCAGGGACGAAAGUCGGUCUUAGUGAUCUGACGGUGCUGAGUGGAAAGGCCGUCACUCAACGGAUAAAAGUUACUCUAGGAUAACAGGCUGAUCUCCCCCAAGAGUUCACAUCGACGGGGAGGUUUGGCACCUCGAUGUCGGCUCAUCGCAUCCUGGGGCGGUAGUACGUCCCAAGGGUUGGGCUGUUCGCCCAUGAAAGCGGUACGCGAGCUGGGUUCAGAACGUCGUGAGACAGUUCCGUCCAUAUCCGGUGUAGGCGUUAGAAUAUUGAGAGGAGCCUUCUUUAGUACGAGAGGACCGAGAAGGACAUACCUCUGGUGUACCAGUUAUCGUGCCAACGGUAAACGCUGGGUAGCUAUGUAUGGAGUGGAUAACCGCUGAAAGCAUCUAAGUGGGAAGCCCACCUCAAGAUAAGUA
rnacentral:rRNA from 1 species